UGUUCGAGGAGGUUCCAUCCACGUAUCUGAUAGGUUUAUGUGUUUUAACGUCACACAGGCCCACGUCGUUUGUUAACAGUGCCCUGCCAGCUUUGGGUUUGAGUUUGGCGCCAUGUUUCUCGGUGUCCGUUAACUAAUUAACAUAAACUUAUGGCGAACCAAGGAAAACUAAUUAUUUAGAUAAAACUGCUUAAAACUUUUAGACCUGGCACAGAUGGCCGAAGACAAUUCUGUUAAACUGUCAACGUCAUAUCCCAUCCAGACACAAGCAAAAGCUGGUGUAUCGAAUUCAGAUUCAGGGACUGGGAGUGGAGACGCAGCACGCUCGGACAGACCAGGUCCUGCCAUCCUGCUCCCUGCUGCCUGCGGUUCGUCCUGUUCGGGUGUGGUUUUCUCCAGCUGGUCCUUGGUGGUGGAGCAGAUGUCUCCUCUCAC